rnacentral:lncRNA from 1 species
CCACAAAGUCAUUCAUUUCAAUCUUUUUCUCAAGCAUGUCCAUACAAUGAUUGUCAUACAAGAUUCCAUAUCCAAACUUACUUCAUUCAUGAAUAUCAAUUUCCAUUACAAAGGAUAAAAUGUUCAUUACACAAAAAAAAGAAAAGAGAAGAACAAAAUAUACACAAAAUUUGAAGUGUUGACCAAGGUUGACUUUGGUCAACGGUUGACUUUUUGGUCAACAAUUGACUUUUUGGUCAACUUUUACCAAAGUCAACCUCAUCCCAAAAAACCCUAAAUCCCUAAUCUCUGAUUAUAAUCCUAAGUUUCGAAUCCUAUUUUGAUCUUUGGUUUGGCUUUUGUACAUGUAGCUUCUAGAUCCCAUUUUAAUGCCAUACUCCAAGCCUUUGCUUAACCAUGUUUGUUCACCCAUCCAACCAUGACCUACAAAUGAUAAACAACAACACAUGAAUAAAUUCAUAACACAAUGAUACCAUCACAGUCCAUAAUGAAUGAGGGAAUGAUAAAGCAAGUCAGAAUUAAAACAUGUUUGAAACAGACCAGAACUUUCUAAUUUCAUGACCAUGUGGUUGCACCUUGCUUGCAAUGAAAAACCACAACAAUGAACCACAAAUUUACAAUCAACCACAAGUCUAAAUCAGAGCAGAACCAUAGGCAGUACAAAGAAUCAACAUGUUAGUGCAAGACUUGCAUACAACCUGCCUGUAUCAAACUUUUUGCAAAACCUGAGCUAUGUCCAACAUAAAGCAAUGUCCAAGGCCAUCAUCACAUACCAGAACAUGAACCUGCAACAUAACAAUAGUAGAAUACAAGGAGUUGUUGGCAGAAUAGGUCCAUUACCAUGAUGUAGCAGCAGAAUUCAGUAUGCCAAGCAUUUGGAUCAAAUCCUAAAAUGAGCAAACUGGCAGCAAUGAAAAUGAAGUAUCAUAAACUAAGGUCAAUAAGAAAAACAUCCUACUACAGUACUACAAGAUUACCUGCUGCAAGCCAACCCUUCACCCCCUAACCAUCAUUAUGAGCACCUUGUUGUAGCAAGCCAUGAACUGACUUUGCCUGCAGUCUUGUCACUAUCACCACUUGACCAAGAUCAAUUACACAACCUGCACAAACUUCCAGCAAACCAGCCAGACCAUGAAGAAAAGCACACAUGAAAUAGCAAUUCAGGAGUGCAAUGAAAUAAUAUAAUCAUUUAUAACAGGAAGCUAUGCAAACCAUUAUGGAAAAUCCAAUAUUCCCAUCACCAAGCCAAGGCAUUGUAGCGCUACACUGUAAUGUUGAUUAUUAAACCUACUUCCAAGAGCUGGUUCCCUACUGCCAGAAACUAGCAGAUGGGCAUGAGCCAAAAGACACAUAUGCCACAAACCCUACCAUGCCAAGACAGUUCCAAAGAAGACAACAGGGAGACAAACUAUGAAUAAAUAAGGGCAGUGUUAUAGUGUAAAACAUGCCAAUGUAGGACUUGCAAUUCAAAAUGACAGUGCAUACCAUAAUGACAUAAUAAUAGAGUCACAGAAUAACAUAACACAGUGAAUAAAAAACCUUGCAAAGCCCUUAAGUCAGUGGCAUCUGAAUUGGAUACAAAUUGCAAGAGUAAGCACAAGAGUGGAGAACUUGCAGAAUCUAAACAAGACAGCUAAACCAAUCCAAGGCAAUCCAGUUUAGAUAUCCACAGUUGAAUGGAGAUUUGAAGCAAAUGGAUUAGAGAGUAAAAUAUAUGCCAAAUUCCACGUGAUCUAUUUCCACAUUGAAACUUACAUUUCAGAAAUUCAUUUUUUCCAGCUCAUUCGAUCUAACUAACUUUCAUUCUCUAAUUCCUUCCUAAUCUACCCCUAAUCAAGUCCUAUAAAAAGCCUUUGACUCGUUCAUCAUUGGAUUCGAUAGUUGAAUUUCCAGAAAAAUCUUGCAACUCCUAAUCAUUCUCUGACCACUCAGGAUACGCUCAUUCCAUUAUUGUGAGAGCUUCAACAUUUGAAGCUCUAAACGGCAGAGCUAAGAAGCACCACUCAAACUCUCAACUCUCAAUUCUCAGCAUCAUGUUCACGCUUGGACUCAGCCAGAAUUCCACAGAAGUAGAGGAGAAGAUCAGAAGCAGAGAAAAAAGAAUAGGAAAAUAGAAGAAUAAGCUCAAAGCAGAAGAUGGAACUUACCACCUGAAUUGGAGUAGCCACGUUCUUCUUCCACUGCCCAUCCCUGUCGAAGCUCACAUCGGAGGUAUUUACUUCUUCCCUCGUUUCACUUUAAGCUCGUUACCGGAGCGUAGGGUUCCACCGGAGGAUCAUUAUCCCUAAACUAAUUAGAUGAAUUAUCACGAUUUCACCAUUUAAUUUAACCAUCAAAUCAUGAGAUUCAUGGAAACUCUCAUUCAAUUCGGAUGGUUCGUUGAGAAUUAGGGAGAUUUAAUUUCGUAUUUAGGUUUAGAUCGAAGUUUUAUUUUGAUUGGUUUCGUUUUGGUGGAGGUAGGAGCUCCUCCACUGCCGCCGAUGAGCUCCGGUGCGACGGAGGCGAGGUGUUCCGACUAUGUUACGUUUGAAUAGAAGGAACAGAGAGGGCGUUAGUUAUUACCAUGUGACGUUUCGUCUUACAUUAGUACCACAAAGACAUGGGCCUUUCCCCUCCCUGGGCCCAUGUAUUUUCCUUCACACACCACAUUCCAACCUCAUACCCCCCUUCUGUUCAGAGCCGAAGGC